rnacentral:lncRNA from 1 species
GACUUGAACAGAUCAACCUGGAGAGAACAUUGUGGAUCAUGACCUAAGUUUAACAAAGUAAGACCUGGAAAGCUAGUUAAUUCCAAAGGUUGAAGUUGAACAUAGAAGCACAUUUGUCAUUGCUGUGUAAUUUAGAUCUUUAAAUAACUGAUAAAAAGUAAAUCUCAACUUUCAUACAAGGACAAAGGAAGGAAUAGCUCACUGAAUCUGAUGAUGCCACCAUUUAGCACAAGUGGACUUGGUGGCUUGGAAGAGUCAGCUGACUUGUCCCACACGUCAGAACCAAGUCUGGACUUCCCACAUCUAGUAUCUGGAUGCAUUGUUCAUUCAACUAUGCCAGAGUCCUAGCAGUGUUGAUGGUCAUGCUAAAACACAUCUAGACCUGACACAUUCUCCUUGUAGUCAAUGAUGCGGUAAGAUGAUGCAGAUUUUUCAUGGCACCAGUAAGUGAACCAGAUGGUCAGUCAAAAAUGACAUGCCCAGCCUCCAGAAUCAUCAUUUCCAAAAUUACGGGGAUACUGAUUGGCAAAGAAACUAAACACUUAUCAUGUCCUCUUAGAAAAACAUCUCAUGUACCCCCAAAAUAUAUACACCUACUAUGUACCCACAAAAAUUAAAAAUUAAAAAAAAGAUUUUAGGUUAAGAUUUAAAGAUAAGAAGGAAAGUAAAAAAGGAGUCUUCUAUUUUAUGUUUAUUUGUUUUUUCAAAUCCUAAGCCUGGACAAAGGCUAGGUACCAUUUCUUCAAGUUACACUCACUAUCUCAGAUAGUCCCAGCAAGAAGGGGUGGGCUUUUCAUGCAUCUCAGAGGUAUGCAGUUAUCCAACCACUGUGUGCUGGCACUGCAGUGGGUAUAAUGGGUAACAAGAGAAGGCCAAGACAUAGUCACAGCCAGGUUGGGAGAAAAGGAAAAGUAACUAUGAAGGUUUUUCUUGUAAGGCUGAUCUGAUCUAAUUAUAAAAUUCUGACACAAAGAAGCCCAGGCUACCCAUUUCCUCCAAUUGGAUCAUCUCAGCCACAAUCCCAGCACCAGCCUCCACUAUGAGAGUGGGAAUGGGUAGGUCUUUAGAAAAAAGGGAACUCAGGCUGAGUUGUUUGUCAGUCUUCUUGGCUUUGUUGUUUGUGUGGUCUCAACUUUAAUUUGGAUUGAGUUUUCUUUCUCUUUCUCUUUUGGGCAUAAGGCUUUCUGCCCAAAAUGAAGUGUUUUGAAGCACAUCCCAGCCUGUUCUGAAUUAUAAAAGAUUGAGUUAAUUAACCUUCCCCCAGUUGAUUACUUUCAACCUUUUUGUUGGCACAUUGGGAAAAUGUAUUAGCGGUUACUAAUUAAAGGUAUUGAAUAUACCUUUAUACUUCUUCAAAUUCUUGGACUCCUGAGCUAAGUUGAUUAAGAAGAAAGGGGAAAAGUUUAUGUUGAAUUUAUCUUUGAAAAUAGCUAGAAGAGACUACAAAUAAACCAAGAAAAGGGAAGUUGUGACCUUAUUUUUAACCUCUUCGUCCCUAUAGUUUUGG